rnacentral:rRNA from 1 species
UACGUAGGGUGCAAGCGUUGUCCGGAAUUAUUGGGCGUAAAGAGCUCGUAGGCGGCUUGUCGCGUCGGCUGUGAAAACCCGCGGCUCAACUGUGGGCCGGGGCAGCUGAUAACGGGCAGGCUGGAGUUCGGUAGGGGAGAUCGGAAUUCCUGGUGUAGCGGUGAAAUGCGACAGAUAUCAGGAGGAACACCGGUGGCGAAGGCGGAUCUCUGGGCCUUGCCUGACGCUGAGGCGCGAAAGCUAGGGGGAGCGAACAGG